GACGAACGCUGGCGGCGUGCCUAAUACAUGCAAGUCGAACGAGAGCGACCGGUGCUUGCACUGGUCAAUCUAGUGGCGAACGGGUGAGUAACACGUGGGUAACCUGCCCAUCAGAGGGGGAUAACAUCCGGAAACGGAUGCUAAAACCGCAUAGGUCUUCGAACCGCAUGGUUUGAAGAGGAAAAGAGGCGCAAGCUUCUGCUGAUGGAUGGACCCGCGGUGCGUUAGCUAGUUGGUGAGGUAACGGCUCACCAAGGCCGUGAUGCAUAGCCGACCUGAGAGGGUGAUCGGCCACAUUGGGACUGAGACACGGCCCAAACUCCUACGGGAGGCAGCAGUAGGGAAUCUUCCGCAAUGGACGCAAGUCUGACGGAGCAACGCCGCGUGAGUGAAGAAGGUUUUCGGAUCGUAAAACUCUGUUGUUAGAGAAGAACAAGUGCUAGAGUAACUGUUAGCGCCUUGACGGUAUCUAACCAGAAAGCCACGGCUAACUACGUG
rnacentral:rRNA from 1 species